rnacentral:rRNA from 1 species
UAAAGCGAGCGCAGGCGGUUAGAUAAGUNUGAAGUUAAAGGCUGUGGCUUAACCAUAGUAUGCUUUGGAAACUGUUUAACUUGAGUGCAGAAGGGGAGAGUGGAAUUCCAUGUGUAGCGGUGAAAUGCGUAGAUAUAUGGAGGAACACCGGUGGCGAAAGCGGCUCUCUGGUCUGUAACUGACGCUGAGGCUCGAAAGCGUGGGGAGCAANCAGGAUUAGAUACCCUGGUAGUNCACGCCGUAAACGAUGAGUGCUAGGUGUUAGGCCCUUUCCGGGGCUUAGUGCCGCAGCUAACGCAUUAAGCACUCCGCCUGGGGAGUACGACCGCAAGGUUGAAACUCGAAGGAAUUGACGGGGGCCCGCACAAGCGGUGGAGCAUGUGGUUUAAUUCGAAGCAACGCGAAGAACCUUACCAGGUCUUGACAUCCCUCUGACCGCUCUAGAGAUAGAGUUUUCCUUCGGGACAGAGGUGACAGGUGGUGCAUGGUUGUCGUCAGCUCGUGUCGUGAGAUGUUGGGUUAAGUNNNNNNNCGAGCGCAACCCCUAUUGUUAGUUGCCAUCAUUGAGUUGGGCACUCUAGCGAGACUGCCGGUAAUAAACCGGAGGAAGGUGGGGAUGACGUCAAAUCAUCAUGCCCCUUAUGACCUGGGCUACACACGUGCUACAAUGGCUGGUACAACGAGUCGCAAGCCGGUGACGGCAAGCUAAUCUCUGAAAGCCAGUCUCAGUUCGGAUUGUAGGCUGCAACUCGCCUACAUGAAGUCGGAAUCGCUAGUAAUCGCGGAUCAGCACGCCGCGGUGAAUACGUUCCCGGGCCUNG